rnacentral:rRNA from 1 species
UUCCAAAUAGCGGAGGAAAAGAAACCAACAGGGAUUGCCCUAGUAACGGCGAGUGAAGCGGCAACAGCUCAAAUUUGAAAGCUAGCCUUCGGGUUCGCAUUGUAAUUUGUAGAGGAUGAUUUGGGGAAGCCGCCUGUCUAAGUUCCUUGGAACAGGACGUCAUAGAGGGUGAGAAUCCCGUAUGUGACAGGAAAUGGCACCCUAUGUAAAUCUCCUUCGACGAGUCGAGUUGUUUGGGAAUGCAGCUCUAAAUGGGAGGUAAAUUUCUUCUAAAGCUAAAUAUUGGCGAGAGACCGAUAGCGCACAAGUAGAGUGAUCGAAAGAUGAAAAGCACUUUGGAAAGAGAGUUAAAAAGCACGUGAAAUUGUUGAAAGGGAAGCGCUUGCAAUCAGACUUGUUUAAACUGUUCGGCCGGUCUUCUGACCGGUUUACUCAGUUUGGACAGGCCAGCAUCAGUUUCGGCGGCCGGAUAAAGGCUCUGGGAAUGUGGCCUCCACUUCGGUGGAGGUGUUAUAGCCCAGGGUGUAAUACGGCCAGCCGGGACUGAGGUCCGCGCUUCGGCUAGGAUGCUGGCGUAAUGGUUGUAAGCGACCCGUCUUAAAACCCGGGAC